ensembl:lncRNA
AGGGAGACGACUCGUAGAAGAAUUCCCCGCGGGUAUUGAUUUACACGCACCCGCCAGGCUGGACGAACUGAUACACACGGCCAACAGGCGCACGCGCCCUGUUCCAGACCGAUGCCCAGCCAACACACACCGGUCAAAUCAACCGAGUUGUGCCGUGGUGUCGCUUGAUUGGUGGCAGAGGACCAUCGUUUGGUGAAGGAAGCUGUGAAGAAACGCAGCCACGUUAGCUGCUGCCCACCACUAGAAGCGCUGCACGCUGACAGAAGAUCAUCACGGUAACCACGGGCGUGACGUGUUGUCACGGCGGCUGCAAAGGCGGGAGCAGGAGUGACGUUGCAGGAGCACGUGGUGGCCGGUCUGCUAACACUGCGCUGCCACUACCGUCCGUCUCCUCCACAAAUCACAGCUACUGUACUGCACUGAUGAUAUGUAACACAUGUGUGCUAUGUGCUCUACUGCUCGUCCAUCCAUCCGUCCAUCCAUGCAGCCAGGCUCCAUGUCUGACAUUGACUCACUGAUCACCCGACAGGCAAAAUAUCCCACGGACGUGCCAGCAAAAGUAGUACGCACAGACAUUCCUUCUGCUCCUCGUCCUGAAAUGUGCAUUCGCUGUGAAAGAGAGAACUCGGCGGACUGAGCAUUAGACGUCAAUUCAAUGUUUGAAUCCGGCUGUCUUCUGUGAUUUGGCUCACACGAAGAGUAGAUUUUCACGUGGUGCUUUUCCAGAAAAAACACAUCCGGUAUAUAAUUAAAUCAUAGAUCUGGACUAAAAUGCUUUAAUACUUCAUAUUUCCUUUUAAAAGUCAGUGUGGAAAACCCAAAACAUUAAGACAAGUCAAUGUUAAAUUCCUGAGGUAACACAGAAAAAAACGAGUGCCCUUUACAUCUGUAUCCAAUAUUCACUCUACUGUGCAGUAUGUAAAAGCUGUAAAAGUUAUGUCCUCCCUGUUGAUUGAAAUGGUCUCGUUACAGCGGCGUGACUCUUCAAAGUUAGAUUUUAUGACGUUAAUGUGUGCCCCCGCAUAACUCUCAUUGGUCUGAAACUGUGUGUGUGUGUGUGUUUUGACUCUGACUCCGCUUCUGUGCAGGGAUCUGUGUUUGUGUUCAGUGAAGUCUGUAUAAUUAGGAGCAAAGGCAUCUGUAUUAACAUGCUGCUGCCAGUCUGCAUCACUAUGCUGCCAGAGGAGUUACAGCAACAGCAGGGGCCAACAAAAAAAAAGAAACCCAAAGUGUGCGUGUUGUUUUGGUGAUAUGAGUCAAGAACCGGGACAACUAAGAUCCAAGAGGAAGAGGAAGGUGGAGAUGAAGAGGAGGGAGCAGUGAUGGCAACGACGGUGAUGGCGACCAAAUGGCGUCAGUUAGGCAGUAACUGUAAGAGUAACGAAGGAGAGACAGAGGUCAAUUAUCCAAUAAUCAUUAUCUUCCCAACCACAGGGUUCAUAAAUCAAAAGCCAAUGAAGGUCUUCUUAUUUCGCCAUGUGUUAGCCACCAAACCCAUUGCACUCUUUACCCCAGUCCAGGCAGAAAUCCAUCACCACGUGAUGAGUCUCGAGCGGGGGAGCUGAUUUGCAAGGGACAGAAAUAGACACUCAGCAACAUUACUAAGAAUUUGAGACGUGGAAUCCGGCACGAUAUAAAUCAGUCGUCAGCUGAUCAUCCCGAUCAGUGGACUGGCCUUGCAAUCAGCUUUAAAAAAAACGAAAAGAAGGAAAGCCUACCAUUACUGAAAGGCACAGCACGGAGCUGCUGAGACCCGGUCAGACAGGCUCGGGAGGAGCAAUAGUUGAGAAG